GACGAACGCUGGCGGCGUGCUUAACACAUGCAAGUCGAGCGGUAGGGCCCUUUCGGGGGUACACGAGCGGCGAACGGGUGAGUAACACGUGGGUGACCUGCCCUCAGCUCUGGGAUAAGCCUGGGAAACCGGGUCUAAUACUGGAUAUGACUCCAUGACGCAUGUUGUGGGGUGGAAAGCCUUGUGCGGCUGAGGAUGGGGCCCGCGGCCUAUCAGCUUGUUGGUGGGGUGANGGCCUACCAAGGCGACGACGGGUAGCCGGCCUGAGAGGGCGACCGGCCACACUGGGACUGAGACACGGCCCAGACUCCUACGGGAGGCAGCAGUGGGGAAUCUUGCGCAAUGGGCGAAAGCCUGACGCAGCGACGCCGCGUGAGGGAUGACGGCCU
rnacentral:rRNA from 1 species